rnacentral:ncRNA from 1 species
CUGGUUGAUCCUGCCAGCGGUGAUAUGCUCAGAUAAAAGAUUAAGCCAUGCAUGUCUAAGAACAUAUGUGUAAACAUGAAUCUGCGAACGGCUCAUUAUUAACACCCAUAAUCUACCCAGUUUUCGUAUCCAAAACGGAUAUCUGCGUUAAUUUUGGAGCUAAUACGUGCACCAACGUGCUGCUAGCAAUAGUGGCACGCACUUAUUAGAUCAAGGCCGAUUGGGGCAACCCUUUUGGUGACUCUGAAUAAUUUUGCGGAUCGUAUGGUCUUGUACCGACGACGUACUGGUCGAGUGGGUGCCCUAUCAACUAUUGAUGGAAGUCUAUGUGUCUUCCAUGGUUGUAACGGGUAACGGAGAAUAAGGGUUCGACUCCGGAGAGCUAGAGUGGGUGAAUGCUCCGAAUGACAAUGCCAAGAGAGGCUUCAAUCAAUUCGUACUCGAUCCCAUUUUCAAGGUUUGUAUU